GCCUCGGUAGCGUAGUAGGCAACGCGUCAGUCUCAUAAUCUGAAGGCUGAGUUCGACCCUCACCCGGGGCC